rnacentral:rRNA from 1 species
GACGUAGGGGGCCAGCGUUGUUCGGAAUUACUGGGUGUAAAGGGUUCGUAGGCGGUGUGGCAAGUCGGGAGUGAAAUCUCUGGGCUCAACCCAGAGGCUGCUUCCGAAACUGCUGUGCUUGAGUGUGGGAGAGGCGCGUGGAAUUGCAGGUGUAGCGGUGAAAUGCGUAGAUAUCUGCAGGAACACCCGUGGCGAAAGCGGCGCGCUGGACCACUACUGACGCUGAAGAACGAAAGCUAGGGGAGCAAACAGG